UACGUAGGGUGCAAGCGUUAAUCGGAAUUACUGGGCGUAAAGCGUGCGCAGGCAGUUUUGUAAGUCUGUCGUGAAAUCCCCGGGCUCAACCUGGGAAUUGCGAUGGAGACUGCAAGGCUAGAAUCUGGCAGAGGGGGGUAGAAUUCCACGUGUAGCAGUGAAAUGCGUAGAGAUGUGGAGGAACACCGAUGGCGAAGGCAGCCCCCUGGGUCAAGAUUGACGCUCAUGCA
rnacentral:rRNA from 1 species